rnacentral:rRNA from 1 species
AGGACGAACGGCUGGCGGCGUGCCUAACACAUGCAAGUCGAGCGGAGAUAGACUGAUGGUAACUGAAGUUUGUCUUAGCGGCGGACGGGUGAGUAACACGUGGGCAACCUGCCUUGGAGUGGGGGAUAACAUCGGGAAAUCGGUGCUAAUACCGCAUAACAUACACAAACUGCAUGGUAAGUGUAUCAAAGGAGCAAUCCGCUUUAAGAUGGGCCCGCGGCUGAUUAGCUAGUUGGUAAGGUAACGGCUUACCAAGGCGACGAUCAGUAGCCGACCUGAGAGGGUGACCGGCCACACUGGAACUGAGACACGGUCCAGACUCCUACGGGAGGCAGCAGUGGGGAAUAUUGCGCAAUGGGGGAAACCCUGACGCAGCAACGCCGCGUGGAGGAAGAAGGUCUUCGGAUUGUAAACUCCUGUCUUCUGGGACGAAGUAUGACGGUACCAGAGGAGGAAGCCACGGCUAACUACGUG